GUGCUCGCUUCAGCAGCACACGUACUAAACCUGGAAUAGUAUAGAGAAGAUUAGCGUGUUCCCUGCUCAAGGAUGACAUGAAAUUCAUGAAGUGUUCCAUAUUUCA